GACGAACGCUGGCGGCGUGCUUAACACAUGCAAGUCGAACGAGAAUCUAUGGAUCGAGGAUUCGUCCAAGUGAAGUAGAGGACAGUGGCGGACGGGUGAGUAACGCGUGAGGAACCUGCCUUUCAGAGGGGGACAACAGUUGGAAACGACUGCUAAUACCGCAUGACACAUAGAGAUCGCAUGGUUUUUAUGUCAAAGAUUUAUCGCUGAAAGAUGGCCUCGCGUCUGAUCAGCUUGUUGGCAGGGUAACGGCCUACCAAGGCGACGAUCCAUAGCCGGCCUGAGAGGGUGAACGGCCACAUUGGGACUGAGACACGGGCCCAGACUCCUACGGGAGGCAGCAGU
rnacentral:rRNA from 1 species